rnacentral:rRNA from 1 species
AGAGUUUGAUCAUGGCUCAGAACGAACGUUGGCGGCGUGGAUUAGGCAUGCAAGUCGAACGAGAACGGUCCCUUCGGGGGCCUAGUAAAGUGGCGGAAGGGUGAGUAACACGUAGACAACCUACCCCCGAGACGGGGAUAACCCUCCCAACGGAGGGCUAAUACCCGAUACGCCCGCGGGGACGCCAUGUUCCUGCGGGGAAAGAUAGCCUCUGCUUGCAAGCUUUCGCUCAGGGAGGGGUCUACGUCCUAUCAGCUUGUUGGUGGGGUAACGGCCUACCAAGGCAAUGACGGGUAUCCGGCCUGAGAGGGUGGUCGGGCACACUGGGACUGAGACACUGCCCAGACUCCUACGGGAGGCUGCAGUCGAGAAUCUUCCGCACUGGCCGAAAGCCUGACGGAGCGACGCCGCGUGGAGGAUGAAGGCCUUCGGGUUGUAAACUCCUGUCACUCGUUAAGAACAGCGAGAGGUGAAUAGCCUGCUCGUCUGACAAAGGCGUGAGAGGAAGCGCCGGCUAAUUCCGUGCCAGCAGCCGCGGUAAGACGGAAGGCGCGAACGUUGUUCGGAAUCACUGGGCAUAAAGAGCUCGUAGGCGGUCCGUCCAGUCAGGGGUGAAAUCCCUCGGCUCAACCGAGGAACUGCCCCUGAAACUGACGGGCUAGAGGGCAGGAGGGGAGAGCGGAAUUCCUGGUGGAGCGGUGAAAUGCGUAGGUAUCAGGAGGAACGCCGGCGGCGAAAGCGGCUCUCUGGUCUGCACCUGACGCUGAGGAGCGAAAGCUAGGGUAGCAAACAGGAUUAGAUACCCUGGUAGUCCUAGCCGUAAACGAUGGGCACUACGUAGAGGGGGCUCCGAUGUCUUCUCUGCGGGAGCUAAUGUAUUAAGUGCCCCGCCUGGGGAGUAUGGCCGCAAGGCUAAAACUCAAAGGAAUUGACGGGGGCUCACACAAGCGGUGGAGGAUGUUGUUCAAUUCGAAGCAACGCGAAGAACCUUACCCGGGCUUGACAGCCUGGUAGUACGAACCUGAAAGGGGGAGGAGCUUCAGAAAUGGAGCAGCCAGGUACAGGUGUUGCAUGGCUGUCGUU